rnacentral:rRNA from 1 species
GUGGGGAAUAUUGGACAAUGGGCGAAAGCCUGGUCCAGCCAUGCCGCGUGUGUGAAGAAGGUCUUCGGAUUGUAAAGCACUUUAAGUUGGGAGGAAGGGCAGUAAGUUAAUACCUUGCUGUUUUGACGUUACCGACAGAAUAAGCACCGACUAACUUCGUGCCAGCAGCCGCGGUAAUACGAAGGGUGCAAGCGUUAAUCGGAAUUACUGGGCGUAAAGCGCGCGUAGGUGGUUUUGUAAGUUGGAGGUGAAAUCCCCGGGCUCAAACUGGUAACUGCCUCCAAAACUGCAUGACUAGAGUACGGUAGAGGGUAGUGGAAUUUCCUGUGUAGCGGUGAAAUGCGUAGAUAUAGGAAGGAACACCAGUGGCGAAGGCGACUACCUGGACUGAUACUGACACUGAGGUGCGAAAGCGUGGGGAGCAAACAGGAUUAGAAACCCGUGUAGUCC